rnacentral:rRNA from 1 species
UCCGUAGGUGAACCUGCGGAGGGAUCAUUACACAAAUAUGAAGGCGGGCUGGAACCUCUCGGGGUUACAGCCUUGCUGAAUUAUUCACCCUUGUCUUUUGCGUACUUCUUGUUUCCUUGGUGGGUUCGCCCACCACUAGGACAAACAUAAACCUUUUGUAAUUGCAAUCAGCGUCAGUAACAAAUUAAUAAUUACAACUUUCAACAACGGAUCUCUUGGUUCUGGCACCGAUGAAGAACGCAGCGAAAUGCGAUAAGUAGUGUGAAUUGCAGAAUUCAGUGAAUCAUCGAAUCUUUGAGCGCACAUUGCGCCCUUUGGUAUUCCAAAGGGCAUGCCUGUUCGAGCGUCAUUUGUACCCUCAAGCUUUGCUUGGUGUUGGGCGUCUUGUCUCUAGCUUUGCUGGAGACUCGCCUUAAAGUAAUUGGCAGCCGGCCUACUGGUUUCGGAGCGCAGCACAAGUCGCACUCUCUAUCAGCAAAGGUCUAGCAUCCAUUAAGCCUUUUUUUCAACUUUUGACCUCGGAUCAGGUAGGGAUACCCGCUGAACUUAAGCAUAUCAAUAAGCGGAGGA